rnacentral:lncRNA from 1 species
AUUUUGUGCUCUAUGGCAGCCCUGUCACUGCUUGAACCUGGAACAAACCUGCUCUAGUUGGGAGGCAGGUGUAUCUGUGGAAAUGCAGCACAUCCACCUGUCAAAACAAGAGGCCAUUAAGCCCUGCAAUCAAAGUUCCAGCAACCUCUGCUCUGAUUCCAGGAUCACCAAGCAAUCCUCUGAUUAUAAUUUUACUUUCUAUGCAGCUUCCUACAGAGAAAGAAUAUGAUGGUCAGAGAAAUGAGUAACUGUCCCACUUGACAAUUAUUUUUCUCACUGAAAAUGGAAUAAAUACUCUAGCAUUUUCCACUAGUCCAUUUUAUGCUGUUUAAGAGUGAAUAAAGAUCUUCAAGUUUGAACUGUUCUAAGAAACAGACAAAACCAAAUUUUGAGUUUGAAAAUCUGGCCUGGUAUGCUUUUGAAAAUAUAGUACAAUUUUGUGGAACUUCUUAAGGAUAACCAGUGGGCCUCACUUGGCAUUGCAGUGGCUCAAACGCCUUUACAUUUAAACCUAAAAUGGAGGUGAGAUUCUGGGUAAUAAAUAACAGACUAUUUUUAAAUAGAACCUGAGAAAUAAAGGCAGACGAUAAAGAAAUAAAAUGAAUCAAUUACAUAGGUUAAAUGCUUAUAAUUACAUUAUUUUACUUAACUCUAAAAACUUUGUGAGGUAAGUUAAUGUCAUCUUAAAUUUAGUGAGGAAAGACUGGACACUCUGUGAAAUUUCUCUGAUCUGCCUAAGGCCACACAGGAACUGGAGGGAUCAUAGUUCACUGGUUUUGCAUUGCAUGUCGUACUGCAACAUCACAUAAGUAAAAUGAUGGAAUUGUUACCGGUGGAAGGUCUUGACUACCAGUUGUCCAGGUUCUUGGCAUUUUGAAAAAAGAAUUGGACAAAAUGCACAAAGUAACAAAAGAACAGAACAACAAAAGAAACAAUACAAGAAGCAAUGAAACCACAGAUUUAUUGAAGUGAAAGUACACUCCAAAGUGUGGGAGAAGGCUGGAGCAAGCAGCUCAAGAGCACUGGCUGCAAAAUCUUCUGGUGCUUAAGUACCCUUUAGAGGUUUUCUAUUCGCUACACCCUAUGUAAAUGAAGAUGGCCUGCAACCAAUUGGAGGCUGAACUAAGGUUACACCCUAUGCAAACGAAGACUUGACCCAGGACCAAUUGGUGGCUGAUGUGAAGGCUUCCUGUCUCCAGUCCCUAUACUCAUUCCUUAGAAUGACACUGUCUGACAUGUCUGAGUGGAGAAUAGAGAGAUAAUAUGAAAAAAAGGAAAACUGCAGAAUAUCACAAAGCUAGGGCUGGCUGAGAGGAUAUUGAAAUAAUCAGUGAGGAGUUUAGACUAUACUAAUAAAUGGCAAUGAAUACUGAACACUGAUCUAAAAAUAAUGUCUGUCUCUAUCAAGAAGUCAAGAAGUAUGCAGUGACUAUUGUAUGUAUGUUGGUUACAAAUUGAGUUGGAUUGUUUGUAUAUUUAGCCACAUCUGUUGGCAUAUCUAUUCCAUUAUAAAUCAUCUUUUACUUGUAAAUAAUUGGAGACAUACUUAUAUAAAACUAUAGAAUGCAAUUUGUGGAUAAUGGACUUGGAGAGUAUGCAAUUAUGCAGAUCAGAAUAAUUGCUUAACUUACAAAAAAAUAAUUUUUAGUAGGUGGUUCAGGAUAUACAAGUAGAAAACAGGGAAUUGCAUACAUUACCACAGUGAACAGCUAGUCAGGCAUGUGUCAAUUUUAAGUGUCAGAGGAUCAAAUAUAAAGAACUCUACACCAUCUGGGUGUGUACUGCCAUACAAUAAUCAGAAACUUGGCAAGCAUGUGUUCACACUGAUCACACUGUGAUUCCUAUUGACUAGAAACACCACUCUGGUGUUUUAAUUAGAGAUGUGUCAAGUAAUUCAUUGUUAACCAUGGUAUAGAUGAACUAGCAUUGGUUACAAUUUGGAAAACUCCCUGUACCUUUAUUCCAUGUAUGGGAGUCUCUUGGCAAGAUUUUUCUGUGAGCUGAAAAUAAUGCAUAUUAUGUCUACUAAUCAUUAAGACAUGUCCCAUUGUGUUAAUGCCAUGACUACAUGGAAAAACAGAUGUGGCAAUUAAAACCUGAAAGUGAUACCCAUUUAUUUUUGGCUGGAAAAGUGCUACAUAUAGAAGUGUUUUGUUUUUUUUCUUCAUUAGCCAAGAUGGCAUGAACAGAGUAACUAUUAUUUUCCUGCUAUUUAUGAAUAGUUGAUGAAUCAUGACCCACACUCAACCACCAGCAUAUUUCUAUUUUUAAACCAUUUUAAAUUAUGCUUAUAUUCAUUUACUGAAAUUUCUGUGAACUCCUGGGGAAAAAAAAAAACUAAUAUGUGUACUUCCAUGUUUUUUUGUUUUGUUUUCUUUGGUUGGGAGGGGCAUGGUUAAGCCACGUUGGCCAGAAAGCAAAGACUGAUUAAAUGACUAAAAUAAAAUAGCAGCUACGAACAAGCCUUGUACUCAAAGUGAAACUUACAAGCAUAGAGAUAGAAAGUGGAGAAUGGUAUUCCCAAGUCUAUCAUACAUAUAUUGUAAAACCAACUGGUCAUGUCCUUAUUUGACAGUAA